CGCGGGGUGGAGCAGUGGUUAGCUCGUCGGGCUCAUAACCCGAAGCCCGUCGGCUCGAGUCCUACCCCCGCUA
rnacentral:tRNA from 1 species